rnacentral:rRNA from 1 species
GCCAUGCCGCGUGCAGGAUGACGGUCCUAUGGAUUGUAAACUGCUUUUGUACGGGAAGAAACACUCCGACGUGUCGGAGCUUGACGGUACCGUAAGAAUAAGGAUCGGCUAACUCCGUGCCAGCAGCCGCGGUAAUACGGAGGAUCCAAGCGUUAUCCGGAAUCAUUGGGUUUAAAGGGUCCGUAGGCGGUCUGGUAAGUCAGUGGUGAAAGCCCAUCGCUCAACGGUGGAACGGCCAUUGAUACUGCUGGACUUGAAUUACUGGGAAGCAACUAGAAUAUGUAGUGUAGCGGUGAAAUGCUUAGAGAUUACAUGGAAUACCAAUUGCGAAGGCAGGUUGCUACCAGUGGAUUGACGCUGAUGGACGAAAGCGUGGGUAGCGAACAGGAUUAGAUACCCUGGUAGUCCACGCCGUAAACGAUGGAUACUAGCUGUUGGGAGCAAUCUCAGUGGCUAAGCGAAAGUGAUAAGUAUCCCACCUGGGGAGUACGUUCGCAAGAAUGAAACUCAAAGGAAUUGACGGGGGCCCGCACAAGCGGUGGAGCAUGUGGUUUAAUUCGAUGAUACGCGAGGAACCUUACCAAGGCUUAAAUGCAGACUGACCGAUUUGGAAACAGAUCUUUCGCAAG